GCGCCCGUAGCUCAGCUCGGAUAGAGCGCAGGCUUGCGGAGCCUGAGGCCCCAGGUUCGAAUCCUGGCGGGCGCG
rnacentral:tRNA from 1 species